UGCCAGCCGCCGCGGUAAUACGGGGGGCGCAAGCGUUAUUCGGAAUUAUUGGGCGUAAAGGGUGCGCAGGCGGACUUGUGCGUCAGAGGUUAAAUGUCACCGCUCAACGGUGAACCUGCCUUUGAUACGGCGAGUCUUGAGUACGAGAGAGGUAGGUAGAAUUCCUGGUGUAGCGGUGAAAUGCGUAGAUAUCAGGAGGAACACCGAUGGCGAAGGCAUCUCUCUGGGCCGAUAUUGACGCUGAGGCGCGAAGGCGUGGGUAGCGAACGGGAUUAGAUA
rnacentral:rRNA from 1 species